rnacentral:lncRNA from 1 species
GCAGGAUUGCACAGCAUCCUGCAAGACGGCUUGAGCUUUGCCUGAUGAUCCAUGGGGAAUCUUCCAUUCGGUGCCUUUCAGAGAGGAAACUGCCCAGCUGGAUAGAGACAGACGGGGAGUUGCUCUUCUGGUCCUCAGAGGAAAGGAAGUACAGUGAUGUCAGCAAUGACCGCCACUGACAUCUCUACCUGGUCAAAUAGCCAAACUGUCCCAAAGGAGAGCCUUGGUAAAGCACCCGCGGGAAGAAGAAAAUUAUGCUCAAGCAACAGGGUGGUCUUCAGAAUGGAAGCCAGAGUACAAAGACAACUGGAGAAUACACACGUAGAAUAAAUAAGCUGAGAAUAAUGGAAAGUUGGAUGAGAGAAUUGACAUUCCACAAAGGUUUUACUUCUCCAAACAGUUGUUCAGAUCAUCUUGGGUCAUCUGGAUUUUGGCCAUUUCGUCACAGGAAAGACUUGUAAAGACACUAUGAGCAGCCUCAGUCAAGCCCACUCAAGAUCAGUUCUUCUGGGAAAGACAUAACCUGCUGAAGAAGUACUGAGAAAGGCUGAAACUGUAAAUGUCGAGUCUACCCAGGAGAGUAAAUAUAAACUGCUUGCAUCUUUCUGGCUGACUUAUAGCUUAUCAAGCACACAUUAAACCUUUAAGCCUUUUUUUUUCUUAAGUAAGAAUAAAUCUAAGUUGAC